UCGAGAAUCAUUCACAAUGGGGGAAACCCUGAUGGUGCGACGCCGCGUGGAGGAUGAAGGCCUUCGGGUCGUAAACUCCUGUCACCGAAGAACAAGGUUUAGCGGUUAAUAACCGACUAAAUUUGAUGGUAUUCGGAGAGGAAGGAACGGCUAACUCUGUGCCAGCAGCCGCGGUAAUACAGAGGUUCCAAGCGUUGUUCGGAUUUACUGGGCGUAAAGCGUGCGUAGGGGGUUAGGUAAGUCAGAUGUGAAAUCUCACCGCUCAACGGUGAAACUGCAUUCGAUACUGCCUGACUAGAGGAUCGGAGGGGAGAGCGGAAUUCUUGGUGUAGCGGUGAAAUGCGUAGAUAUCAAGAGGAACAUCAACAGCGAAGGCAGCUCUCUGGACGAUUCCUGACCCUGAGGUACGAAGGCCAGGGGAGCGAACGGGAUUAGAUACCCCCGUAGUCC
rnacentral:rRNA from 1 species